rnacentral:lncRNA from 1 species
UGACAAUGUAGGAAAUUUUUUCUUCAACCUUUUUACUUGUUAAACUUAAUACUUUGUUUGACUUUUAGUCAGUCUUUCAGCUUUGCUCAAACUUUAUUAAACUUGUUCAUCCUCAAAUAAUUCAUAAUGAGGACAAAAUGGAGAAGCCAGAAGAAUGUGAUAUUGUGUAACAGUUUUCUGCAGACUGAAAUGACCCAUUCUGAAGGGAUUGUGAUUAAGACAGCAAAUACAUACCUCAAAAUAGCUUCAAGAAAUCCCUGAAAGUGACAGCAUUGUCUGCUUAAGUCAAAUGAUGAAACCCAGAAAAGAAUAUACCUCUUAAAAGAGGAUUUUACAAAGUGUCAACAAAAUAGGAUGCAUUACUAAAUGAAUUAUUACACAUUAAUUUUUCCAUCUGAGAGGUAUAAAUGGUAGAAUGUAAAUACUGUUUUCAGAAAUGUAUAAUUAUAUGCUAAACUGUUAAUGUUAACCCUUAUGGUGUAAAAUAACUGCACUAUGUAUGCUGUGAGAAUAUCAGGCUAUACUACAUUUAUAGAUGGAAAAUUCAGUGUACAUUAGGACAAAAUUCAAAACCAUCUUUUAAAUAAUUAUGAUUCAUCAAUUAUGUUAGAAAAAUUUACUCUAAUUUUCUUAUGUCUCCUGCGUUCAUCAAAAGCACUAUUCACAUUGAUGAAUUGUUAGAUUACCUUGGUCUUGUUUCUUUUUGCUGGGUAUAUAUUUCAGUGUGCUACCCUGUCUGUGUCAGAACACCCAAUGUAGACCAAGCCUGGACUCUGCCUCCUGGAUGCUAGAAUUAAAGCACUGUACAGAAUUUGAUGAUAGUUCUUAUCAUUAUGCACUUCAUUCAGGAGGAAUUGUAAUGUCCAGGCCCUAAUUACUGUGCUUUGUACAUAGAUUUGAUAUUGAAGAAUUGCAGUAGUCAUGUUUGUGUGAAUGCAAAUAGCAUGCUGCACUCUGUAUCGAGCCUUGGGGUUCUAGUGAAAACAUCAAAUGUGUGAUUUCUCUGGGAAUGAUUCAUACAUCUCACAGAAAAAAAAGGAAGAACUUCAGAGUAGAAAUAAACAUUGCAUGGUAUUUUCAAUUCUUCACAUUGGUCCUUUGGGCAGUUGUAAGGCUUCUUUUAUUUCUGUUUUGUGAUAAAUUAAGAAACUCAGGAGUGUAAAAUAGUCAUCCCAAUUAUUCUGCUCCAUGCUAGUGAUGGAGUUUCAAUCGAUCUUUGAGUAGGAGUGGUGGAGAUCAAGUUAUGCUACCUAAAACCUUUCUCUAAGGAGUUAUUACUGUGACAUUACAUGAUAGUUGAGUCUUGUAGAAUAUCUUCUAUGUAGUCUUCCCUUUAUUUUCAGAGCAUAGCACUGUGUUAGAAAUCCUAGAUGUUUUGAAAAAGUCACUUUCCCAUAGCUUGGGCUGAAUGAAACAGACCAGAGACCUGGAAUGUAUACUGAACUUAAAAUGAAUAAAUGAUACCAGAUAUUCUGCAGGAAAUUGAGGUAGGAGUAAUGGAAGAUUCAAAUGACAUUGGAAAUAGAAUGAAGAAAGAAGUUGGCUCAGCAGCAGGUAACACUUGAUUUUCUUGAAGAGGACAUGAGUACAUUUCCCACCACCAGCACAGUGGCUGACAAAAUUCAUAAUUUUAAUUACAGUAGAUCAGGUGCUUUCUGGCCUCAGCACCUACCAGCCACAAGCAAGCUACAUGCAUACAUGUUGUAAAACAUUGAUACAUAGAAGCUAAAGUAAAUAAUCUAAUGAACAUUUUAAAGACAAACGUGUAAAUGGGAAAUGAAAUAUUGAUUUUCUAUAUUCUGUUUCUCUAGAAAUUAAUCUAGAAUAUACUGUAAUGUCAAGAUUAUCCUAUUGUGUAUGUUACUGACAUUUUAUGUAAGCAUAAUAGGGAAAAAUAUAAUUUGUUUGACUGUGUACGUGUCCCAGGUGUGCACAUAUAUCUAUUAUAUGAAUGUCAUUGCUUUCAUUUUAGGAUACUUGUAAAACUAGAAAUAUUUCUGCCUCUUAACUUUUCCCCCUAAUCUAAUGUUAAUUGUUUCUGUUGUUCCUUUAAUGUCUUUCUUUUGUGGUCAGUUUUGGGUUUUUUUGUUGUUGUUGUUGUUGUUGUUGUUAUUUGUUUUUUGUUUUUCCAUUUCCUAAUAUAAUACCAGCAGGACUUUGGUUAAAAUUGCUUAGUAUGUUUACACAGUAUUAUACUUUGUCUAUAUUGUCUUCUUCUUGACAUCUCUUGUUUUCUCUCUUCACACCAUUACUCUAUGAUAUCCUUUGCAAUAAUUAUAAGAGAUUUUGGAUCUUGGUUCAACCUUCUGAAUAGUUUUUUAAUUCUUUCAGCUUUCUUGAAUGUUGAUAUCUUUUUAAUAUUGAUUUGUUCACUUUGCAGUAAUUGUCCAUUCCUCUUGAAACAAUUUGAUUGCAAACUUUAGGAAAGUGAAAAUUCUUGCUGAUGGUGUUCCCAUAUGAUGAGAAUUGGAUAGGGGUUCCUUAGUGUUGACAUGUUGUACAUUUAUUUUUCUUGUUGUGUUGCUAUUUAUGUGCAUGUCAUCAGUGCGUAACGACUCAUUGCAAGAAUCUACUACAAUUAGUCAUAUCAUAAAAAAAGCAUAUGUGUGAUAAAGUUAAUUUUAUGU